rnacentral:rRNA from 1 species
GGGGGGGGGGGGGGGGGGGGGGGAGGGGGGGGGGGCGGGGGGGGGGGGUGCGGCGGGGGUGAGGGAGGGGCGUACGGGUGCGGAACGGGUGGGCAACGUGCCUUUAUCUGGGGGAUAGCCUGUCGAGAGGACGAUUAAUACGCCAUAAUAUAUUGAACGGCAGCGGUUAAUAUUGAAAGCUCCGGCGGAUAGAGAUGGGCACGCGCAAGAUUAGCUAGUUGGUGAGGUAACGGCUCACCAAGGCGAUGAUCUUUAGGGGGCCUGAGAGGGUGAUCCCCCACACUGGUACUGAGACACGGACCAGACUCCUACGGGAGGCAGCAGUGAGGAAUAUUGGUCAAUGGGUGCAAGCCUGAACCAGCCAUCCCGCGUGAAGGACGACUGCCCUAUGGGUUGUAAACUUCUUUUGUAUAGGGAUAAACCUACCCUCGAGAGGGUAGCUGAAGGUACUAUACGAAUAAGCACCGGCUAACUCCGUG